rnacentral:rRNA from 1 species
AGCGAACGCUGGCGGCAGGCUUAACACAUGCAAGUCGAACGGGCACUUCGGUGCUAGUGGCAGACGGGUGAGUAACACGUGGAAACGUACCUUUCGGUUCGGAAUAAUACAGGGAAACUUGUACUAAUACCGGAUACGCCCUUUGGGGGAAAGAUUUAUCGCCGAUAGAUCGGCCCGCGUCUGAUUAGCUAGUUGGUGAGGUAAUGGCUCACCAAGGCGACGAUCAGUAGCUGGUCUGAGAGGAUGAUCAGCCACAUUGGGACUGAGACACGGCCCAAACUCCUACGGGAGGCAGCAGUGGGGAAUAUUGGACAAUGGGCGCAAGCCUGAUCCAGCCAUGCCGCGUGAGUGAUGAAGGCCUUAGGGUUGUAAAGCUCUUUUGUCCGGGAAGAUAAUGACUGUACCGGAAGAAUAAGCCCCGGCUAACUUCGUGCCAGCAGCCGCCGUAA